rnacentral:rRNA from 1 species
UACAGAGGGGGCAAGCGUUGUUCGGAAUUACUGGGCGUAAAGGGCGCGUAGGCGGCCUGUUAAGUCGAACGUGAAAUCCCCGGGCUCAACCCGGGAACUGCGUCCGAUACUGGCAGGCUUGAAUUCGGGAGAGGGAUGCGGAAUUCCAGGUGUAGCGGUGAAAUGCGUAGAUAUCUGGAGGAACACCGGUGGCGAAGGCGGCAUCCUGGACCGACACUGACGCUGAGGAGCGAAAGCCAGGGGAGCAAACGGG